GGUAGGGGGCGGGCUCCGGCGCUGGGACCCCGCUCGGGUGGCGCCUUG
ensembl:miRNA